AUAUGAAGCAAUAUUAUGCAUUUAAUUUCGACUUAAAAGAAAGAGUUAUUACUCCAUAUUUUUA
rnacentral:tRNA from 1 species